AUUGAACGCUGGCGGCAUGCUUUACACAUGCAAGUCGAACGGUAACAGGCCUUCGGGUGCUGACGAGUGGCGAACGGGUGAGUAAUGCAUCGGAACGUGCCCAGAGGUGGGGGAUAACGCAGCGAAAGCUGUGCUAAUACCGCAUGUGAUCUGAGGAUGAAAGCGGGGGACCAGGCAGCAAUGUUUGGCCUCGCGCCUUUGGAGCGGCCGAUGUCAGAUUAGGUAGUUGGUGGGGUAAAGGCCUACCAAGCCGACGAUCUGUAGCUGGUCUGAGAGGACGACCAGCCACACUGGGACUGAGACACGGCCCAGACUCCUACGGGAGGCAGCAGUGGGGAAAUUUGGACAAUGGGCGCAAGCCUGAUCCAGCAAUGCCGCGUGCGGGAAGAAGGCCUUCGGGUUGUAAACCGCUUUUGUACGGAACGAAAAGGCUCUGGCUAAUACCUGGGGCUGAUGACGGUACCGUAAGAAUAAGCACCGGCUAACUACGU
rnacentral:rRNA from 1 species